AGCCAACACUGUUAUAUAUAUAUAUAUAUAUAUAUAUAUAUAUAUAUUUUAUUUUUUUUAUUUUUUUUUUAUUGGGGUAGCCCCCAAAAUAUUGGGACAUAUAAAAAAAGACAACUCUGUUCCGCAGAGUAGCUGUUGACAUUAUAGUUGCGCAGGCACUUUUUUGACUCUAGAGAACCUAAGGCAAAUCGCACAUCCCCGUGGCGGCGACUUUGCAUGCGGAUGUCAUCCAUAUCAACUUUCAAUGCCAGUUUCUGUGUCUACCAUGGUGACCACGGGUAACGGAGAAUCAGGGUUUCAUUCCAUACAGGGACCCUGAGAAACGACUACCACAUGCAAGGAAGGCAGCAGGCG
rnacentral:rRNA from 1 species